CUAAGAAAAAUAACUGAAAUCCUGAUUCUCCAAUUCUUCCCCUGGCAUGUAUAUAGGAGUACUGUACUUUUGUAUUAAAAUGGAGAAUUGUGAAGACAGGAAGAGGUAGCACUUGGAAAUGACUCUCCUGGAUGAGUAGAUCACUUAGGAGUCGUCGGCAUUACAGAACGAUAUGCUGGUUUGGAAGGUGCUGGAACUAAAUUGCAAACUUUCAUUUUUUUCAUUCAACCCAUGGAUUUUCUAAUUGUUCCUUGGAGUAGAUGAAGUCCGAAGCCAGUGUGUGAUGGGGCAUGAGGCGUGCCAGUGUUUUCCUACUUACUGCAUCUUGGAUUAGUUUGCUGCCAUUUUGAAGAGUUUGCAUUUUUGUGGGCAAGGACCUAAUGUGAUGGAUUUAUCUUCAGAAAUGAACAGACAUGGGAAGAAUCCGGUGAGUCACAAGCUGGAAGACCAGAAGAAGGUAAGAGAGGCAAAAACCCCUCUGCUUCAUCUGCUUUUAUAAAGCGAGUUUGGUCAGUAGGAGUCAAUGUAUUGGUUCCUCUUACUCUGCAGUCUUGAAUCUCACCUUGAAGGGUCAAACUUGAAUUUAGUUUUUCUAUCUUUUAAGAAACUCUUCCUUGCUCAGGAAUUGCACUCACUGUAGUAAAAACAAUGUUACAGGCACUUACAAGAAGGGUUAAGGAAAGUGCCCAGGACAGAAAGCCCUGUUAAUUUCACCUUGUAGGAUGGAUGUAUUUGGUGACUACUGUUAGUACAGGGUAGGACUGUAGGGAGCCAUUGGCUAAAUAAAGCACAUGAGCAAAAUAGUGAGAUAAAUGGAAUGAAGUUUUUUUAGUAGGUAAGGAUCAAAGAGGUGUGAUUAAGAUUUGAUUAAUCUUAAUUGCUUAAUCUUACUCUUCUUAAUUUGCUUAAUCUUUAUCCAAUUGAUGGGAACAGAUGCAGAGAGCCACAGCCAAACAUUAGCUAGAGCUCAGGUAAUCUAUGAAACAGGGGGAGGAAGGAUUAUAGGAGCCUGAGGGCUCAAGACAAGAAUGCAGCCCCCCCCCAAAAAAUCAAUUAAACAGGGCUCAUAGAAGAUCACAGAGACUAAACCGAUAAGCAGGGAGCCUGCAUGGGUUUGCAGUACAUCCUCUGAGUAUAUUGUAUGGUUGUGUAAUUUGAUGUUCUUAAAAGACUCACAACAAUGGGAGUGGAGGUGUCUCUGGUGCUUUCACCUGCUCUUGGGAUCCUUCUACUGGAUUGCCUUGUCCAGCCUUGAUAUGUGGAUUUGUGCCUGGUCUUAUUGUACCUUGUUAUGACGUGCUUGGUUGGUAUUCCUGGGAGUCCUGAUCUUUUCUGAAGGGAAAUGGAGGAGGUGUGCAUCUGGGGUGAGGCAGGAGGACUGAAAAGAAUGGAUGGAGGGGAAACUGUAGUUG
rnacentral:lncRNA from 1 species